GCCCGGUGACUGCUUGUUUAACGGCCGCAGUAUCCUAACUGUGCUAAGGUAGCGUAAUCAUUAGCCCCCUAAUUAGGGGCCGGUAUGAAGGGUUAAACGAGAGUGAGACUUUAUUAAGCAUAAAUUCUUAAAUUAGCUUCUUAGUUAAAAGACUGAGAUGGCUUUAAAAGACGAGAAGACCCCGCAGAUCUUUGGCCUCUUUAAUAUAUGACUCAAUCUUUAUGGUUAAAAGUAUAUUGAUUAGGUAUUUAGUUGGGGAGACAGAAAAAUAAGAAAAACUUUCUUUUAAUCAACUCUUUUAAGAGUAAGACUAAUCCACUAAAAGUGAAAUAAGGCAAAGUUACCUCGGGGAUAACAGCGUUAUACUUGUUAAGAGUUCUAAUCGACACAGGUGUCUGCGACCUCGAUGUUGGACUGAAGUCAGGAACUGGUGCAACCGUCAGUAAUCCUUGGUCUGUUCGACCAUUAAACCUUCACAUGAUCUGAGUUAAGACCGGCGUGAGCCAGGUUG
rnacentral:rRNA from 1 species